rnacentral:rRNA from 1 species
UACAGAGGUCUCGAGCGUUAGGCGGAAUCACUGGGCUUAAAGCGUGUGUAGGCGGAUCGGUAAGUACCUUGUGAAAUCCCACAGCUUAACUGUGGAACUGCUUGGUAUACUGCCGGUCUUGAGCCAGCUAGGGGCUACCGGAACAAAUGGUGGAGCGGUGAAAUGCGUAGAUAUCAUUUGGAACGCCAAUGGUGAAAACAGGUAGCUGGGGCUGGGCUGACGCUGAGACACGAAAGCCAGGGGAGCAAACAGG